rnacentral:rRNA from 1 species
UACGGAGGGUGCGAGCGUUGUCCGGAAUCACUGGGCGUAAAGGGCGCGUAGGUGGCGAACGUAGUCAACGGUGAAAGCUCGGCGCUUAACGCCGAGUCGGCCGUCGAUACUGGUUCGCUCGAGCACUGUAGAGGCAGAUGGAAUUCCGGGUGUAGCGGUGGAAUGCGCAGAUAUCAGGAGGAACACCGAUGGCGAAGGCAGGUCUCUGGGCCACUACUGACGCUGAGAAGCGAAAGCAUGGGGGAGCGAACAGG